UAAUCGUAACAAGGUCUCCGUUGGUGAACCAGCGGAGGGAUCAUUAUAGAGUUUUCUAAACUCCCAACCCAUGUGAACUUACCAUUGUUGCCUCGGCAGAAGCUGCUCGGUGCACCUUACCUUGGAACGGCCUACCCUGUAGCGCCUUACCCUGGAACGGCUUACCCUGCAACGGCUGCCGGUGGACUACCAAACUCUUGUUAUUUUAUGGUUAUCUGAGCGUCUUAUUUUAAUAAGUCAAAACUUUCAACAACGGAUCUCUUGGUUCUGGCAUCGAUGAAGAACGCAGCGAAAUGCGAUAAGUAAUGUGAAUUGCAGAAUUCAGUGAAUCAUCGAAUCUUUGAACGCACAUUGCGCCCAUUAGUAUUCUAGUGGGCAUGCCUGUUCGAGCGUCAUUUCAACCCUUAAGCCUAGCUUAGUGUUGGGAGCCUACUGCUUUUGCUAGCGGUAGCUCCUGAAAUACAACGGCGGAUCUGCGAUAUCCUCUGAGCGUAGUAAUUUUUAUCUCGCUUCUGACUGGAGUUGCAGCGUCUUUAGCCGCUAAACCCCCCCAAUUUUUAAUGGUUGACCUCGGAUCAGGUAGGAAUACCCGCUGAACUUAAGCAUAUCAAUAG
rnacentral:rRNA from 1 species